rnacentral:rRNA from 1 species
UACGGGGGGGGCAAGCGUUGUUCGGAAUUACUGGGCGUAAAGGGUGCGUAGGCGGCGUGGUAAGUCGGAUGUGAAAUCUCGGAGCUUAACUCCGAAACUGCAUUCGAUACUGCCGUGCUUGAGGACUGGAGAGGAGACUGGAAUUUACGGUGUAGCGGUGAAAUGCGUAGAUAUCGUAAGGAAGACCAGUGGCGAAGGCGAGUUUCUGGACAGUAACUGACGCUGAGGCACGAAGGCCAGGGGAGCAAACGGG